UACGUAGGCAGCAAGCGUUGUUCGGAGUUACUGGGCGUAAAGGGCGCGUAGGCGGUCCUAUAAGUCUGGUGUGAAAUCUCCCGGCUUAACUGGGAGGGUGCGCUAUAGACUGUGGGACUAGAGUGUGGGAGAGGAAAGUGGAAUUCCUGGUGUAGCGGUGAAAUGCGUAGAUAUCAGGAGGAACACCGGUGGUGUAAACGGCUUUCUGGACCAUAACUGACGCUGAGGCACGAAAGCGUGGGUAGCAAACAGG
rnacentral:rRNA from 1 species